rnacentral:rRNA from 1 species
GACGAACGCUGGCGGCGUGCUUAACACAUGCAAGUCGAACGAUGAACCGGAGCUUGCUCUGGGGAUUAGUGGCGAACGGGUGAGUAACACGUGGGCAACCUGCCCCAGACACCGGGAUAACCAUUCGAAAGGAUGGCUAAUACCGGAUACGACCACUUCGGGCAUCCGAUGGUGGUGGAAAGGAUUCUGGUCUGGGAUGGGCCCGCGGCCUAUCAGCUUGUUGGUGGGGUAAUGGCCUACCAAGGCGACGACGGGUAGCCGGCCUGAGAGGGGGACCGGCCACACUGGGACUGAGACACGGCCCAGACUCCUACGGGAGGCAGCAGUGGGGAAUAUUGCGCAAUGGGCGAAAGCCUGACGCAGCGACGCCGCGUGAGAGACGAAGGUCUUCGGAUUGUAAACCUCUUUCAGCAGGGAUGAAGCGAAAGUGACAGUACCUGCAGAAGAAGCACCGGCUAACUACGUGCCAGCCGCCGCGGUAA